UAUGUACUCCCUCCGUUCGAAAAUACUUGUCAUUAAAAUAGAUAAAAAGGGUGUAUCUAGAACUAAUAUACGUCUAGAUACAUCCCUUUUUACUCAUUUUGAUGACAAGUAUUUCCGGACGGAGGGAGUAUAUU
rfam:Triticum aestivum genome assembly, contig: Triticum_aestivum_CS42_TGACv1_scaffold_321326_4BL